AUACUAAUCUAAUCUACAGACAUAAAUACAUAGAUACGCAGAGUUACAUCUGCCCUACAUAAAGUGUUCCAUGUGUCUUUUACAAGAAUGUAAGAACUCUUGUAUAUAAAUAUAUAUGAAAUUAGAGAGAGUAAUUGAAAUGGGAGUAGUAGUGUCCCAAGACUAAUCUCGUGACGUCACUGCUACUGUGUAAACAACACCAAGACCUCUGAGAGUGGUGACCCGCACCUCCAACACUACACCACACACACUUCUCCUCUGACGGGGGUCCUCUCGGGGGGUCUCCAACACUACACCACACACUUCUCCUCUGACGGGGGUCCUCUCGGGGGGUCUCCAACACUACACCACACACUUCUCCUCUGACGGGGGUCCUCUCAGGGGGUCUCCAACACUACACCACACACACUUCUCCUCUGACGGGGGUCCUCUCGGGGGGUCUCCAACACUACACCACACACUUCUCCUCUGACGGGGGUCCUCUCGGGGGGUCUCCAACACUACACCACACACACUUCUCCUCUGACGGGGGUCCUCUCGGGGGGUCUCCAACACUAAACCACACACACUUCUCUGACGGGGGUCCUCUCGGGGGGUCCUUUCUGGUCCCAGGUGUACGUGAACACGUCUCUCCUGCCUCUCUACUCCCGGAGCCCUCGGCUGGCUUUGGACAAGAUCCUCAAGACUCCAGACUCAAGGUUUCUACGAAUCACUUAGGACUGCUGAAAGUAUCCAGGAAGCUUCUCAUCAGACCAAAAGAUGAUCAACCUGCAAAAUAAGGAAGCAAAUUGGGUCCAACACAAAGUCAGGUGGAUGCAGAUAUAACAAGGUAAAAGACAGCAUCAUGAGUCGAGUUCCACUUCCCACACCAGAUGCUACAAGCCUCACUACAGAGCAGGCAGCUAGUCUCAGCCUCAUCCGAGCUCUCGGCUCUCACCCUCCUUCAAGCUUUCUGCUUGUUUCAUUUGGGCUCUUCAUCUUUAGCCACCUUCGGCACCACAUUCUACAUGGCUCCAGCUACAUGCAAAAAACAUCCUUUUCUCAACCUAUCAUGACACUGUUGUACCAUUUUUAAUGUCCAACUGCUAUAACCAUACUACAGUAUAUUUAAUAAACAGGAAAAAAACACCAUACUCUUUGAAUACUGUCACCCAAAAUCAUGUAUGUUACAGGCCAUAUAAAACUAAAAUGAACUUUUGAAGAGUUAAAUUUUCAACUUUCUCCUCAAGUAAAGUGCAGUGUUUGUAUUGCAUAGCGUGCUACUGUACAGUGUACAUGCAAGCCAUGAUACACCAAAAAUAACCACAAUAGCAAAGACAACUGUGGUCAACUUCAAGGCCAGUCAAAAAAAAAAAUCAUUUUUCUAUUUUACCAUAAUUUGUUCAGUUUCAUCUGUCUUACAUUCCAGUAAUUUGUAAAUGUAUUGUUUAUAUAUCAUUUGAUUGUCUUUGUGUGUGUGCAAUGAUGUAUUCUAUAAUUUGGGGCAAGAACAAAAAUUUUGGUUAUGGAGAAAUUGCACAAAUUUUUGGAGAACAGGAAUUCUAUGUACAGUAAUGCGGAUUGGGUAUGGUCAUAAUUAGUCCGCCUGAGCAAAGUUGCAGUGUAUAUAUAUUUAUAUCUAGUAUACUGUAUAUCAUAUAUUUUAUAUAUACACACACGCACACAGUACUGUACAUACACAUAAUACAUGUACAGUACGGUACAUGUGAAAUGGAACCUCACUUAAAUGGAAUCCAUCCAACCAAAGUCAGGAUGCAAUGGAAAUAUUCUGUUCACUUUGAAAGAUUGACAUGAUAUGAUGGAAAGGAAAUAAU